ensembl:lncRNA
GCUUUGGCUAUGUCAUAAAGGCAUUUAUUAGCUAGAGAAAGAGCUAGGCUUGAUCACAGCUAUCAGUAUGGUGAAUACUUGCCUAGCCUGGGACUUCGUUACUAGUAAAAGGCCAUGCCGUCUGGGCUUGCCCUCCAGCUCCAGCGACAGGUCCGAGGUUCAUCACGGCCAGCAAAUGUUUUAGUGGCGGUCAUGUGACUUGAUUGUGGCGAAUGAGACUCAAGGAGAGGUUUGCGAAGGCUUCUGAGAAAGUUCUUCGACGUGCCUUAGAGAGAGAGGGAGCAGGAGAGUCUACUCUCCCUUUCCCCAGUGAGACAGGAGCAAGGACGCAAGGAGCCCUGACGCCUGUGAUUGCCACCCUGCAGCCACGAGGGGACCCCGCCUUAGGAUGAGGCUGGCACAGGUCCCUGAUGUCAUGGCUGAGGUCCUGCAUUCACCAACUCUGGGCACGGGAGCUCAGAACUUUCCUCACUGUUGGAUCGGUCUGAGUAGGGCAUCAUGUUACCGUGAGCUCAGCUCAUACUAACCAAGGAGUCCCCAGUGAAAGGAAGAGCGAUUUAGCCAUUAGAGCUCAGUGUCUGGAGCACAAGAAAGAUUCUGAGUGCAGAUCCCAGCUCUGCCACUUGAUGCUUGAUGAGAAACUGGGCAAUUUACCCAACCCUCGUGAACAUCAGUUUAUUCAUCUGCAAAAUGGGGGCAUUAAUGUUACUGUGGUGCUUAUUUGCUGGUUUGGGCUAUCUGAAAUCCAGUCUCCCAUACAUUCAAAACUUCUUUGGGGGAUCCCCCAAUGGUGAGUACCCUUAGUGGAGGACAGACCUACCUGGCAUUGUCAAUGCUUCACAGACAAGAUGUUUUAUUCCUGCUCUGGCCCGGCCACGUGGCAGGUCUUGAUGUAAACUCAGCAAGUCCAGAUUGACUCUGGGGUGUGGAGAGGCUUGGAAGCCAUAUUGACUGGAGCAGCCGAGGUGGCACACGGAGCAGCCCUCCCCUGCUGCCUGGCCCUUGGAGGUUCACAGGGUCCCCGCCCCUUUUCACAACCUUGUGUUCUAGCCUUCUGACAAUUACCAUGAGGCCAAAUAUCCUGCUGAGGUGCAACAGUUCUUGGCUGUAUUGGAAGACCCCAAUAUCCUUCCAAUAAACUCCCUCCUGGAUAGCAAGUCGGCUUUGGUUGCUCGCAGCCAAGAAGGAUGCCAGAUAAAAGGGCCUCCUUUGUAAGGUUGCUGUGAGCCUUCACUGAAAUGGCACUUGUAAAGCAGUGCUCUGAACGCCUGCCUCAGUCCAUGUCAGCUAUUGAGAUUAUUACGGACUCAGAUGGCCCCCUUGAAGGGAUGGUCUGAGCUAAACACAAGGUUUUAAUUGACCAAAAAGGGUACACAGGAUCCCAGUUGCCAAAUUGGCAACCUUCCCCUCCAUACCCAGCCUCUGGCUGCUUGGGGUCUCCUGCUUGCCAAAUUCACCAUGAAUUGGCAACACUUGGUGGACACAACAGAAUGAAGGCACGGACCAUCCAAAAGCCAUACCAAACAAACAAAAAUGCGGAGUGACGAUUUUGGCAACAAAUUCUCCUUCUUAACCACGGCUUAUUAGCCCUAAUGUGAAAAUCACUUUAUAGGCUCAGGACACACGGCCACUGGGCAGCAUGAGGAAGACAGAGUGGUGAAGGGACCAGGGCACAAGGGCAGAGACUCAAACCAGCUCUGGAGUUAAACAACUAUCCCCGAGACGUGUUCUGUAACGGCUCUGCCUGGCCUCUUUGCCACCAAACAUGCUUUGAAGUGGCUGAACCUGAUUCUCAUCUGACAGGUAUGAGUCAGAUGAGGAAAGCAUGUGGCUAUACUUUGUCAUUCGGUACAUUCCAGACAGCAAGUGACCAUUGCCAUCAACAGCAUCAUCAUCAACAGCAUCUUUUUCUUCUUAACAUUUACUAAACUAUUAUUAAAUCCCACGAUGGAGUACCCAUUUUAUGCACAUUACUUCAUUUAAUCCUUAAAACAACCUUAGGGGGCCAGGUACUAUCAUUGCCGUUAAUAAACUCAUGCUUAAAGAACUUGAGUGACUUGCCCAAGGUCAUAUAGCUAACAAGUGAUGGAUCCACAAUUCACCGCCAGGUUUGGCCAGACCCUUGAAGACUUCGCCAGCCCUCAGCCAGACUGCCCCAGGGGCACCCCUCUCCUGGCACACACUCACACGUUCUGACUCUAAUUUCAGCCUGCCUUAUUCUCAACAGACCUUUCUCUGUAGCCUUAACAGCCACAGAACAGAACUUUGGCUAAAGUGCCUUUGUAUUUUUAUUUGGAAGAUGGGUUUUAUGCCCUGGUUGGGGCUGACGGUGGAUCCCAUCUCUUCUACAGUAUAAACUCUUACGUACGUGCCAUAAAAAUGUCCCCUU